UUGGAGGGCAAGUCUGGUGCCAGCAGCCGCGGUAAUUCCAGCUCCAAUAGCGUAUAUUAAAGUUGUUGCAGUUAAAAAGCUCGUAGUUGAAUUUCGGAAUCAGUAUGUUGGUCGUGCUUCGGUACGUACUGUCAUUACUGGUUUCUACCUUCUGAAGAACCUUGAUGUCAUUAAUUUGGUGUCUUGGGGAAUCAGGACUGUUACUUUGAAAAAAUUAGAGUGUUUAAAGCAAGCAUACGCUUGAAUACAUUAGCAUGGAAUAAUGAAAUAGGACGUUUGAUUCUAUUUUGUUGGUUUCUAGGAUCGACGUAAUGAUUAAUAGGGAUAGUUGGGGGCAUUAGUAUUCAAUUGUCAGAGGUGAAAUUCUUGGAUUUAUUGAAGACUAACUACUGCGAAAGCAUUUGCCAAGGAUGUUUUCAUUAAUCAAGAACGAAAGUUAGGGGAUCGAAGACGAUCAGAUACCGUCGUAGUCUUAACCAUAAACUAUGCCGACUAGGGAUCGGAUGAUGUUAUUUUUAAUGACUCAUUCGGCGCCUUACGGGAAAAA
rnacentral:rRNA from 1 species